CCAGGGCUAGUCCAUCAGGUAAGAAAUACGUUCUUACUGUGGUGGACUAUGCCACCCGCUAUCCAGAGGCAGUAGCGCUGUCUAACAUAGAGGCAGAGACGGUUGCUGAUGCCCUGGUUAGAAUUUUUACUAGGGUCGGGUUCCCUAAGGAGAUCCUCUCUGACCAGGGAACCCAAUUCACCGCUGUGCUCACCCAGCAGCUGUGGAAGGUGUGUGGCAUUAAGCCGUUACUUAGCUCACCCUACCACCCACAGACUAAC